rnacentral:lncRNA from 1 species
UUUUUUAAAUAAUCAAGGCAACUUUCACAGACAGGCCUUUCUAUGUAAAAACGCCAAACAUGUCUUUAAAGUUGAAAAAACAGUUUUAUAUCAUAAACAACGGCAUUCUUUAGUAACCUUUUUCUUCCAAGUAUGGCUGUGGUGGCAGGUCUCUGAACACAGCUCAAAAUUCCCAGCGAUGAAUAAGCUUCACAGGCUCAACAAAUUUCACCCAAGAAAGCAUUUCACUUCAUCUAUAGGUAACAUGGGUAUCACUUCAAACACUUGAUUUUCUCAGUAGAAUCUCCAAUGAUUUGACUCAUCUCUGGGGGUUUAGAUUUCCCAGGAAGAUCAUUUCUGUCCCAGGAUAACAGCUUCUCCAGUUCGACUGCAGCUUCACCGAACUGCUCCUCCUUAAUGCAAUCCUCAGUACGAAGAGCAAAAAGAACUUCAUUAACGUCUUCCUCAAGCUGGAGGCAAAAUAAGUGGCUGAAGACCUGAAGACAAAAAGUAGAAACCGCAAUCAACACACAGUAACCUUGUUUUAAAAGAAAGCCCCAGGUAGUUCAGUUUAAUUAUUUAUCUAUUCAUUUUGUAAGAUGAUUAGGAAAACCCCGUGAAAAUGGAUUACAAAUAUAUUCUUCAAUAAAUGACAGAACAUAUCAGUUCUCUGUUCUCACCGCUUUCAUCCGUGAGACAACCAUAUUCUUGAUGGCUCGGGAUCUUGAGACCAAAUUAACAACAAAGAGACCUUGAUCAGAAAGAGAGUCCUUUACAGUUAAGAGAAAAGACUCAUCCACAAAGUCUGCAGCAGGGCAUGUCAUCCCAGAACUGUGCUAACAAUAAUAUGAAAAAUUAGAAUAAAAUAAAGGAAUUCGAAACAGGAGCCUGGCUAUUGACCAACAAAUAUAUAGUAACAAACACAUUUAACAAUCACAUGUACCUCGAGUCUGAAGAGUCAACAUCAAUAAUAAGUAUGUCAAACUUGCUNNNNNNNNNNNNNNNNNNNNNNNNNNNNNNNNNNNNNNNNNNNNNNNNNNNNNNNNNNNNNNNNNNNNNNNNNNNNNNNNNNNNNNNNNNNNNNNNNNNNUUUUUUUCCCCAAAUUUUUUAAAAUUUUAGAAAAAGGGUUUUUUUUUUUUUUUUAUAUUUUGCCAAAAAAUUUUUUUUUUUUUUGUAUAGUUUAAAUUUGUGAAAAAAAGACCAUCACCCUAUUUGCCCCCCCCCCCCCCCCCCCCCUCUCUAGGAUGAUUACCAUAGUUUGGAUUAACCUCAAAUUCCUAACAAAUUAUAUUUACGAAAUAACUUUAAUAUGUAUAUUUUUACUUAUUUUAUCAUUUUUAAAGUUUUUCUAAACAUUUUUAUGAAUUUUUAAUAAUUUUCAUCUCACCAAUAUAUUUACCAAAAUAUCCACCGAUAUUUCUGAUAUAUUAAUACAAUCUAAGUAUCGAUAUAUCUGUGUUUACCAAUAUUUCAAAUCUUAGUUCUAUGAGAAGAACCUCCUCCACCUCAACCUACUCUCUCUCAACUUCUACAAAAAAUUAUAAAAAAUGCAUCUUUGCAUCCAAAAAAAUUGUGGAAUAAAAUCUCCAAUAUUUUUCUUAGAGAAUUUUAGCUUCUUCAAACACUAUCACAAAUAACAUAACAACCCUAAUUUCAUCAUUAUUGCAACUCAUGGUACAUAUACACGAACCAACAAACAUCCAUUAUAAGUAAUUUAAAAAAUCACUUAUAACGCUUUCUAGAUAAACACUCGAUAAAUGAUUUAAGAAAAGAAAAAAAUAAAACAAAACUUCCGAACGCACUAAAAAAUACAUGUCCUCAGUCCUCCCAAUAUUUGGGAUAAUAUUUGGGUUUUGGGCUAGUAAUCAGUUGUAAUAUUUAUAUUUUUAAUUUUAUUGAAACAAGAGUAAAGAAGAGGGUAUGGACUCCUUUCAAUCAAAAUAAAAAUAUAUGAAAAUUUUCCAUAAGUAACUUUUCAGUGUUUAAUUCAUGAAGAGACCCUCAAAGUUUUUAAAUGAAUGGGAAAAUAACCUAUGUUUCUAAUUGUCUUGCCUCGCACUCUAUAAAAAAUACCUCAAAUUGGUUUUCAAAAAUCACCCCGCUUUCUAAUAAAUUUUAAAAGAUUAUUUUCUAUGUAAAAAUGCCAAACAUGUCUUUAAAGUUGAAAAACAGUUUUAUAUCAUAAACAACGGCAUUCUUUAGUAACCUUUUUCUUCCAAGUAUGGCUGUGGUGGCAGGUCUCUGAACACAGCUCAAAAUUCCCAGCGAUGAAUAAGCUUCACGGGCUCAACAAAUUUCACCCAAGAAAGCAUUUCACUUCAUCUAUAGGCAACAUGGGUAUCACUUCAAACACUUGAUUUUCUCAGUAGAAUCUCUAAUGAUUUGGCUCAUCUCUGGGGGUUUAGAUUUCUCAGGAAGAUCAUUUCUGUCCCAGGAUAACAGCUUCUCCAGUUCGACUGCAGCUUCACCGAACUGCU